rnacentral:rRNA from 1 species
UACGUAGGGGGCGAGCGUUGUCCGGAUUCAUUGGGCGUAAAGAGCUCGUAGGCGGCUUGGCAAGUCGGGUGUGAAACCUCCAGGCUCAACCUGGAGACGCCACCCGAGACUGCUAUGGCUAGAGUCCGGUAGGGGAUCACGGAAUUCCUGGUGUAGCGGUGAAAUGCGUAGAUAUCUGGAGGAAUACCGGUGGCGAAGGCGGCAUCCUGGACCGGCAUUGACGCUGAUGAGCGAAAGCUAGGGGAGCAAACGGG